rnacentral:rRNA from 1 species
GAUGAACGCUGGCGGCGUGCUUAACACAUGCAAGUCGAACGAGAAGUGAAGACGGAAACCUUCGGGCGGAAGGCUUUAUUUCGAGUGGCGGACGGGUGAGUAACGCGUGGGUAACCUGCCUCAUACAGGGGGAAAACAGUUGGAAACGACUGUUAAUACCGCAUAAGACCACAGCACCGCAUGGUGCGGGGGUAAAAACUCCGGUGGUAUGAGAUGGACCCGCGUUCGAUUAGCCAGUUGGCGGGGUAACGGCCCACCAAAGCGACGAUCGAUAGCCGAUCUGAGAGGAUGACCGGCCACAUUGGGACUGAGACACGGCCCAAACUCCUACGGGAGGCAGCAGUGGGGAAUAUUGCACAAUGGGGGAAACCCUGAUGCAGCGACGCCGCGUGAGUGAAGAAGUAUUUCGGUAUGUAAAGCUCUAUCAGCAGGGAAGAAAAUGACGGUACCUGAGUAAGAAGCCCCGGCUAACUACGUG